GUUUGAAUGAGGUGGCUGGGGCAAAGGAAGACAACGUCCAUUUUCUGAGGAGCUAUGCUGCAGAGAGGCCCCCAGCACCCUCGGAAGAGUUGAAGCAGGGCCAUCGAAUCCUCUGGUUCUGUGGUUGUGGGACCUGAGGCGGCAGCUUGGGGAAAAAGGCUUCAAUCCAUGAAUUGGGCUUCCUAAUCAGCAACAUGGAAACUAAAGCCAGCUCCACGCAGCAGCAUGUGAGGAAGUCAGAGACUCCAAAUGGAGGGGCCGGCUGAAGCCAUGGCAGAAGAACGUGGAUUGUGAAGAUUUCUUGGACAUUUAUUAGUUCCCCAAAUUAAUACUUUUAUAAUUUGUUAUGCCUGUCUUUACUGCAAUCUCUAAACAUAAACUGUAAAGAUUUCAUGGACACUUAUCACUUCCCCAAUUAAUACCCUUGUGAUUUCCUAUGCCUGUCUUUAAUCUCUUAAUCCUGUCAGCUGAGGAGGAUGUAUAUCGCCUCAGGACCCUGUAAUAAUUGCAUUAACUGCACAAAUUGUACAGCAUGUGUGUUUGAGCAAUAUGAAAUGUGGGCACCUUAAAAAAAGAACAGCAUAACAGCAAUUGUUCAGGGAAUAAGAGAGAUAACCUUAAACUCUGUCCACCAGUGAGCUGGGUGGAACAGAGCCAUAUUUCUCUUCUUUCAAAAGCAAAUGGGAGAAAUAUCACCGAAUUCUUUUUCUCAGCAUGGAACAUCCCCGAGAAAGAGAAUGCGCACCUGGGGGUAGGUCUCUAAACUGGCCCCACUGGGCGUGGUCGUCUCUUAUGGUCGAGACUGCAGAGGUGAGAUAGACUCCAGUCUCCCAUAGCGCUCCCAGGCUUAUUAGGAAGACGAAAUUCCUGCCGAAUAAAUUUUGGUCCGAUGGUUGAUCUCAAAACUCUGUCUCCUGAUAAGAUGUUAUCAAUGACAACAGUGCCUGAAACUUCAUUAGCAAUUUUAAUUUUGCCUCAGUCCUGUGGUCCUGUGAUCUCACCCUGCCUCCACUUGCCUUGUGAUAUUCUAUUACCUUGUAAAGUACUUUAUGUCUGUGACCCACACCUAUUUGCACACUCCCUCCCCUUUUGAAACUCCCUAAUAAAAACUUGCUGGUUUUUGUGGCUUGUGGGGCAUCACGGAACCUAC
ensembl:lncRNA novel transcript